GUCUCAGGGCCGCCUCCCAGUAAAAUGGACUGCAGUGGAGGCAUUGCUGUAUGGUUACUAUACUACAAAGAGCGACGUGUGGAGCUAUGGCAUUGUGUUAUACGAAAUCUUCACUAUAGGUGGUCGUCCUUACCCCUCAGUUGCAGCUCACAAUAUCCCUUAUAAGAUAAAAGGCGGUUACAGAAUGCCUAAACCAGGCCACUUAGACGAUGAUAUCUAUGCGCUGAUGACUGAAUGCUGGGAUAAGGAGCCGGAUCGCCGUCCGACAUUUGAAUCUAUAAGCAGAAUUGUCAAACGCCUUGAGAAUUGUCACAAGGAAAUUAUUUACAUGAAUGUGUAUGACGAAGAUCUUUACAGUAACUUGGAAGACUGGGACGAGUACUAACAAGGACAGAGAGAAAGGUCUUUUUGAUAGAGGAAAACGUUUGUAUCACUUAAAUCUUAACUUUUUUUUCCCUGAUUCUUCUUUGACGAAGUGCUUUUAACAUAGGUUGCAAUACGGAUACAUUACUCCGUUGCUUAUUGACUAUGGUACAAACAACAUUUUAAUUUUUUUUUUCUUUUUUUUUAAAGUAUGUUCUACCUACAGUAUACCUUUAGUUUUGUUAAUAUAUCUUGGCUACUGAUAGCCAUAUGCUUUCAUGAGUAUAAGAUCACUCACUCCAACUAACACUGAACUAACUAACACUAACUGACACUAACUAACUAACUAACUAACUAACACUGCUCGAGGAAUGACCCAGGUAAUUCAGCUACAACAAUGUUAUUUAAAGAUGAUGUUAUAAUUAUCAAAUAGUAGUUUUAAAAGGUGCGUUUAAUUUUCAAUGUCUUACUUAUGCAAUGAAGUAAGGAAGGAUGCCAUUAUGAGAGGGAGUCGCUACCCGGAGGUUCUGGAGCAUUUUGAAACAGAUUUUCGCGGGAAUUCAGCUUUUUAAUUUCGUAAAAAGAAAUUAAGUACAUUGUAGCAUGUAGACACGUGAUGCGUUUUUGAGACAGAGAACACAAUUUGUUGCGCACUCUCGCUGAGCAAAGCUGACCGUUUGCAGCCUCGUGAAAAGUGUUCUUCGUUCCGUCAGUUGCUAUGAUUGUUAAUACACUAUGGCCACUACUUUUGCAGCGAGGUCGUCGUCGUAGAUAAGUUUAAAUAGGGGAGCAUGCAAGGACAGGUCGCCGUCGUAAAACGCGUACCCUUCUGAAUAAGAAGUCGUUAGUGGGGAUCCGACUGGAGUUAAAGUGUACAUGAGGCACAAGGAUACAUUUCUCAAGUUGAUUUUUUCUAAUUUUUGACAUUUUAAUAUUGUAAAAAGAAAAAGAAAAAAUAGAAAAAUCACUUAAUAAGAAUUAAAGUAAUAGUGUCUUGAACGUAAUUCCAGUACACUUUUAAAAUGCGUCACGUUUUCCAAACAUGAAAAUUAUGACUGACUUCCGAUGGUGCUGUAGCGCCUGGUUUAACAGGCCAGUCACAUUAGGUAGUCUCGAGGCCUUCUUAGUUCCAUUACAAAUUAAAAUAGACGCUUGUAUUCCGAAUUUUGCUAAAACAACUACAUUCGUCAAUCACCUGUUAAUUGAAUCAUUGCCUCUAACAGUUACGCCGGUCCAGUAGUAUAAGGGCGUCUACACCUAUAUCAUUAAGUAGGUGGAAGUCUUAAGAAUACAUGUCAAGUACUUUUUUAUUUAAAUAUACUUUAAAAAUUAAAUAAUAUUUUCCAUA
rnacentral:lncRNA from 1 species